UGCUCUUAUUGCUCCGAAAUCUAAAAGUUUUGGAAUCUGUGAGCUAGGAACUGUAGAAAAUAUGUUUGGGUCAUCUAAAUCACAAUAUUGCUAUUUGCAUGCAAGGCAGGCCUGACUUCCCAGCGCCGUCCACAGGACCGUAGGAAGCAGAGCUGGAUCUUCCUGUCCAGGCCCGCUCAGAAAUACAGCCAAGUAGUGGAGGUGAAUAAUGAAAAGGCCAUAAGAAAAUGAAGGAGGAAAAGGGCAAACAUAAAGGGAGGAAGAGAAAAGGCCAAGGAUGGAAUCACCGAGAAAGGAGGAAGAUGAACCUGAAUAAUCAUAACUGGUCUUGGGGUACCUGGGUGGCUCAGUCAUUUGAGCAUCCAACUCUUGAUUUCAGCUCAGGUCAUGAUUUUGAGGUUCAUGAUAUCGAACCCAGUGUUGGGCUCCUCACUUACAGCACAGAGCCUGCUUGGGAUUCUCUCUCCCUACCUCUUUCUCUGCCCCUCCCCUGCUCAUAUGCACGUGUUUUCCCUCUCUCUCUCAAAAUAAAUAAACAUUAAAAAACUUAAUCAUAACUGGUCUCUACCUAAUAGGAGGAUAUAAACACCAAUUUAAUAAUAA